CUCAUUCCUUAUCAUGAAUAUAACUAUUCAAGAUUAAAAAAACAAAUAAGAAAUAUAUGUCUUUAUAUUAUUAAUUAAAUUACAAUUACAAUAUCGGAAAGGAUAAGUUCCACUCAUUUAGUUAAACUACAACGGGGUACAAGGUUUGUUGGUAUCCUUGAGAAAAAAAUCGGCAUAAUUUUAUGAAGGGUGGGCCUUCAUAAAAUUCAAGUUUGCUCAUUUUGGGCAGGUCUAUGACCAACGUGCAAGAUAAGAUAAGAUAAGAUUUAAAUAUAUAUUUUUCUAGAAAAUUGUAAAAGAACAAUAUUAGCAAUAUUCUCAACACCUUAAAGGCAAAAAAAAUUGUAAAAUAAAGAACAAUAUUAGCAAUAUUCUCAACUUAGUAUUAGCAAAUAUUUUUCUGAACCUUAAAGGCAAUGGUAAUUAGUUUUAUUGAUGUGAUUUAUUAUUUUCUAGAUAUUUGCAAGUAUUUGACUGCAAGAAGAGGAACAUCAUUGGGAAGAAAUGAAGAGAUUGUUGUGCCUUCUUUGAUAAAUCAUGCACAAGAAGACUGAGAGGAUGAUCUCCUUGUUUUACCAUUUUUGGAUGAAAGUUAUAGAUGAAGAAGUUGUAAUCGAUAUCUCCAUUGCAGCAGAUAGCUCUGUAACUUUACCAAUAUCAGUUAAUAACAUUCAAUUCUCAUAUGUAGAACAGCCAUAUAAUUUUAUUAUUUCCCAAAAAAAACGUAAUUUAUUAUAUUCAAAUAAAUAUCUAAAUAUCAUCAUAAAUUUG